UACAGAGGUCUCAAGCGUUGUUCGGAUUCAUUGGGCGUAAAGGGUGCGUAGGCGGCGCGGUAAGUCGGGUGUGAAAUCUUGGAGCUUAACUCCGAAACUGCAUUCGAUACUGCCGUGCUUGAGGACUGGAGAGGAGACUGGAAUUUACGGUGUAGCGGUGAAAUGCGUAGAUAUCGUAAGGAAGACCAGUGGCGAAGGCGGGUCUCGGGACAGUUCCUGACGCUGAAGCACGAAGGCGAGGGGAGCAAACGGG
rnacentral:rRNA from 1 species